GCCUGAUGUCCUGUUUGACAAACUGACCUGCGGGUCACAACCUGAGUUUAUUGAUCCGUGGGGCCUUGUCUGGGUGCCGGGCAUGUUUUCUGGACUUUGGUUUCAGCUGCAUUCCUCACUUCUCAAAGAGGGGGAGUGGAUUUCUGCUAGGAGUAACCACUGGGAAGGAAGUAAUGUUCAUUAAGUGUGCAGGCAGUGCAGGACGAAGCAUGCUCACUGCAAGAGGCUCCUCUGCCCUGCCUGUCAAGCCUGGUUUGAACUCGGUCCAGAACGCCGGAUUUACUUUUCAGGAAGAAACCCUACCUGCCUGGGCUGCUUUUUUCCCCUUCCCUCCUCCUCAGAGGAGUGCAAACAAUGUUCUUUUGAUGCUUUCCUGCCAGUGGGAAUCUCGCCCUGGAGAAGGAGACAAAACUUUGCUACCUGUGAAGCGAAGACUGCUUAGGUAGCAAAAUGGAAACAAUUCCAAUGGGAAUGGAAACAAUUCUCUUUGGCUCCACAAAUGAGUAACUUCAGUGGGAAUUGCUCAUGAAAAAGAGAAAGGAUCACCUGGAUUCUUCUGGAGCUGGGAAUCAGGGCCAGAAAUCUCCAGGAAGGACCUGCCAAGGAGCAAGAAGAGGAUCUCAGCUCUCCAGAGCUCCAUCCCACCUGGAGCUCCAGGCAAGCACCACUUCCCUGCUUGGAGCUUCACUGCCGAGUGCUGGUGGCAGACUGAGGGAGAAGGAAGAACCCCACCCUUCCAAAGCCACUCCGUGGAACACAGGGGUCUGCCAGUGCUGGUGAAGUCUUUUUUGAGCAGCACACACAAAAUCUGCUGUCCCAAAUCCUCCUCUUUCCCACUGGCCAGCAGCCUGAGGAGGAGCUGUGUACAGGUGCUCCAUCCCAGCUCUGACUUCUGCUGGAUAUUUCCAUAUUCCUGAUCUCCUUCUGGCAGCUGGGUGAGAAGGGAAUGCCAUGGCCAAGGAGGGAUUGCCAGGGAGGGAUUACCAAGGUUCAAGCUGAAUCCCAAGGAGUCCUGUGUGUCACCUCUGCUCCAGGGCCGUGUCUGGGGGGAGCCAGAACCGAGCAGAUCCUUUUCCAUUUCCACUCCUUUCCAGGGUGGGCUCUCCCAAACCAAGACAAGCACUCAGGCCCUGCCAUAGGAGGAAUUUUCCUUGGGAGCUGCAAAUCCUCCUGAGUGCUGAAUGCCCAUGAAAUUGGCUUUUCCCACGUGUGUGCUGCUGGUUCUGUGGAUUCCUGGAUCUCUCUGUGAGCAUGGAAAUCCUGGAUCCCUCUGUGAGCAUGGAAAUCCUGGAUCCCUCUGUGAGCUUGGAAAUCCUGGAUCCCUCUGUGAGCAUGGAAUCCUGGAUCCCUCUGUGAGGAUGGAAUCCUGGAUCCCUCUGUGAGGAUGGAAAUCCUGGAUCCCUCUGUGAGGAUGGAAUCCUGGAUCCCUCUGUGAGGAUGGAAAUCCUGGAUCCCUCUGUGAGGAUGGAAAUCCUGGAUCCCUCUGUGAGCAUGGAAUCCUGGAUCCCUCUGUGAGGAUGGAAAUCCUGGAUCCCUCUGUGAGGAUGGAAAUCCUGGAUCCCUCUGUGAGGAGGGAAAUCCUGGAUCCCUCUGUGAGGAUGGAAAUCUCAUCUCCCCCAGUGCAGGGCACAAAAGGAGCAGGAAAAGCAGGUGCUGAAUGAUCCCUCUGGGCUCAUCAGCAGGAGAGGGUUUGAGAUGGGUAAGAGAGGGAAGGAGGGCUUAAAGAAAGAGAUGGAUUUCCUGCAUCCAAAUCAAGGAACAGCCAAAAAAAAAUUAAAAUAAAAUAAAAUAAAACCCCACCAAGUUUAAUCCUGUCCCAGACAAGGUCAGCAGGCACAAAUAGCUCAGGCUUUGAUUUGAUCUGUCCCUUCCUAAAAGUGGAAGGUGAAAAUAUAACAUCCAAGAGUGUGCUUUGGGAACAGGCAGGGGGGAAGAACUGAAGGGGGAGGGAAAAAACCCCUUGUUUGGUGUGGAUCCAUGACCCCAGGGACAAGGGCAGGGAAUGUCUCCCUGCUCACCCCAGGGACAAGGGCAGGGAAUGUCUCCCUGCUCCCCUGGGUGAAGUUCUGCAGGGCACAGAGGAGUGUGGGCAGCCCCAGCCCAGCUCAGCGUCUGCCUGGGUACCAAUUUCACUGAUUUGGAGUUAAAAUAACUGGGGGAGAGCCAGCCCCAGUGUCUGGUGGCAGCGAGUGGCUCGGACAUCGUUAGAGCUGGCAGGGAUUCAGACAUCUGCCAGGGGAGGGGAGAGGAGAGACAGGGAGAGACGCAGCCCGAGCCUCCCGGAGAACGCUUCCUCCUUAAAAUUCCCUUCCCAAGCUGCUGCUCCCCUAUUUUAUCUUCAGGUGCCCGUUCCCCCCGGCUGCCUGGGGCUCGGUGGUGUUGAAGGAUGAGGCGGAGGGGCUCGGGGAGAGCCGUGCCCGGCAGCGCCGCUCGGGCCGCGCUGGCUCGCAGCGGAGCCGUGCUGCAAUGGUGCCGCAGUGCUGCGUGAUCGGAAUGCCAGAUGCAGCGCGGGGGGAAAGGCCACCAGCGUGCUGCAUUCCCAGUUUACACAAGUCUCCUUAGCAACUUGGCUGAUUAUUUUCUUCCUUUUUUCCCCCUUUUUUCCCCCCCCAUAUGUGCGAGUGCGGCGGCGUUGUCCCAAAUCUCCAGCGAAUAAAACAUUCCCCGAGUUUUUAAACCGCUUCGUUGACGGUCUCGGGGUUGUUUUGCCUUUUCCUUUUAAAUUAGCGGCUUCAUUUUUAUUUUAUUUUAUUUUUUUUCUCCCCUGUACCCCCAGGAAGGAUGGCAGAUCAGAGGGGGCACUGGGAUGGUUCUCAUUGUGACUUGCCCAGAGUUGGUUCCUUUGCAGUUGUUCACAUCUCAGCCUGUGGAAUUGUUCUGCUUUCUCCCCAUUUGCCACAGAAUUGGCACCAGCCUGACAUUGUUACUCAUUGCAAUUGUAUUUGGAGCCGGGCUGAUUUUCUUGUAAUUUUUUUUUCAUUUAUUAAUUUAUUUAUUUUAAUCACCCGCAUCUUUUUUUUGUUUUGUUUUCUUUUUCAUUUCAUAACAACCCCUUUGAUUUUCCAAACAUAUUUAUGAUUUUCCAAUAUAUUUAACACUCUGUAAAAUGGAGGAGAGGAGGAAAAAAAAACAAAAAAACCCACCGGGGUGAGAGGAUCGUGGCAGUCUAUCCCUGAAUCCCACAUUCCCUUCCCCGUGCCAUUUUUUUAGUGGCCUCCUGAAGAACCCCCUCCCUCCCCAGAGGAGGGAGUGGCCUUGUAGGGAUCAAGGUACGUUGGAUUAUUUUUUUUUUUCCCACAUUUCUGUGAUCCUUUAUUAAUAGCAUGGGGCAAGAGAGAGGCUGAAGGGUGGGGAGAGCAGGGGAGGAGGGUGGAGAAAAGCCGAGUUCUCCUCCAAGCCCUGCACCUUGAAAUAACUCAAGGGGAAAAGAGUUGCAGCCUCACUUGAGUUGUUUCAAAAUCUUCCUGGGUGCUUUUACUUUUUCUUUUGCUUCUAUUUUUUUUUUUUUUUUUAAUUUCCAAAGGGAGGGGGUAGAAAAAGAAAAAAAUAAAAAGAAGAAACUGAGCCAAAAAACAUUUUGAAGGCUUGAUCUUGGCUUCUAUACAAACAGAUGUUGCCUGUCAUUCCGUCGUUAAGCAGGCAGCAGAUUGGAGCAAGCAGCAGCAGUUUAGGGGGAACUGCAAAGUGGGAGAUACAGAAAUAUAGAAAUAUAUUUUGCUUUUCUUUUGUUUUUUCUAUUUUUUUUUUGUUUGGUUUUUUUUUGGUUUUUUUUUGUUCAACACAUAAAUAUUUUUCCCCUGGAAUUACCUCUAAUUACAACACGUCUCUCUUCAAUUUUUUUUUUUUUAAUUAAUUUUUUUUUUUUUUUUUGUCAAGGGCAAAACAACCCCAAAACCAAAUGGAAAAGCAGUAGGAGCUUCCACCCAAAUUUUCCCAAUGCAUUUAUUUUUCCAGGGCUGUUUUGGAGGGAUUUUUUUGGGUUGUUCUUUCUCACACACGUAGGGAAGGGGGCUCUGUUGGAAAUGCUUUGGCAUUCUCGGUAAGUGAACGUUUGCCAGCAGUCAGGUCAGAGAUUUCAGGGAUUUUGGGCUUUUCCUUGCUGCUCCUGGUGCUGGAAGUGCAGCUGGGGAGCUCCAAGGCCUUUCUGUCCCCUCUCCAAGUGCUGGGAGGGGGCUGCAGGACCAGAACCUCGCUGUUCCUCCUGCAGGAAUUCUCCCGGAGCUCCUUUGUGCUCUGCCUCUGCUGCCUGGGGGUUUCACCCCCAUCCUUUCCAUGCUCUGAGAUUUUUUCCUCCCUUUUUCACUUCUCCCCUCUGAUUUAAUCUCUGCCUGGCUGGGAGGAGAGAGGAAACAGCAAAACUCAGCCGGCUUUGAGCCGAAGGAGUUAAAAGUUUCUUGGCACCAGAGCAGCAGUUUAGCAACAGAUCAGUUCAUUUAAAUGAAAGAAAUCACAGCCCCAGCCAUCUGAUUUUGAAAUUUCACAUCUUCUGCUUCCACUUUAGAACAAAGCUUCUGUUUUCCUUCCCCCCUUUCGUUAAUUCACGCUGCUUUUGUUCCAGGCUCGGUGGGCUUGCACAGAAACUCGGGGCUGGGGCUGGGUUUUCCCUUGAAAUGUGAAAUUAUGGGGGUGCCUCCAUCAUCCUGCACACCCAGCAGCUGCUGGCAGGGCUUUUGCUGGGAACAGCUCCCAUUUUUGGGAUAAAGGCACUGGGAAAAGGAGCUGUGUCCAGCAGGGAGCUGAGGAUCCGAGCGGGGAUUUUCCCUGCCCACAUCUGGGACUCAGGAUUUUUCCUUGAAAUGUGAAAUUAUGGGGGUGCCUCCAUCGUCCUGCACACCCAGCAGCUGCUGGCAGGGCUGUUUGCACCUCACUCUUUGUGAGCUGGGGACAGCUCCC